rnacentral:rRNA from 1 species
AGAGUUUGAUCCUGGCUCAGAACGAACGCUGGCGGCGUGCCUAACACGUGCAAGUCGCACGCAGUUAAGGGGGCAACUCCUUGAUUGAGUGGCGCACGGGUGAGUAACACGUAGGUAACCUGCCCUUCACUGGGGAAUAACCUGUCGAAAGACGGGCUAAUUCCGCAUACGUCCAAGACUGCUCCGGCAGAUUUGGGGAAAGGCGGCCCGCAAGGGCUGUCGGUGAUGGAUGGGCCUGCGUACCAUUAGCUAGUUGGUAGGGUAAUGGCCUACCAAGGCUACGAUGGUUAGCUGGUCUGAGAGGAUGAUCAGCCACACUGGAACUGACACACGGUCCAGACUCCUACGGGAGGCAGCAGUGGGGAAUAUUGCGCAAUGGGCGAAAGCCUGACGCAGCAACGCCGCGUGAGGGAUGAAGGUUCUCGGAUUGUAAACCUCUGUCGGGGGGGACAAAACCUAUGCUGGCUAAUAUCCAGCAUAAUUGAUGGUACCCCCAAAGGAAGCACCGGCUAACUCCGUGCCAGCAGCCGCGGUAAUACGGAGGGUGCAAGCGUUGUUCGGAAUUAUUGGGCGUAAAGCGCACGUAGGUGGCUUUAGAAGUCCGGUGUGAAAUCCCUCGGCUUAACCGAGGAAGUGCGCCGGAAACCAUAAAGCUAGAGUAUCGGAGGGGAGAGUAGAAUUCCCAGUGUAGAGGUGAAAUUCGUAGAUAUUGGGAGGAAUACCGGUGGCGAAAGCGACUCUCUGGACGAUUACUGACACUAAAGUGCGAAAGCGUGGGUAGCAAACAGGAUUAGAUACCCUGGUAGUCCACGCCGUAACGAUGGGUACUAGGUGUCACGGGAUUUGACCCCUGUGGUGCCGUCGCUAACGCAUUAAGUACCCCGCCUGGGAAGUACGGCCGCAAGGUUGAAACUCAAAGGAAUUGACGGGGGCCCGCACAAGCGGUGGGAGCAUGNNGGUUCAAUUCGACGCACGCGAGGAACUUUACCUAGCUUGACAUGUANAGNAUCCUGAUGAAGUCGGGANUGCCCGCAGGGAGCU